rnacentral:misc_RNA from 1 species
AAACCCCCUCCCCCUCGGAUUAAAUGUUCCUUGGGGGGUAUUGGCCAAUGGGAUUGCGAGAUAGCAAUUGUUACCCAGGCGCCCAAAUGCAUCAGUACCCCGCCAUUUACAGAUUUACCAGCACCGAGGCCGUCAACCGUGGAGUUAUGGGAAUUAUAGGCUUGCAGUAAUAUGCUCACCUCUCUCCAUACGCAGGCGGCACACCGGGUAGAGUCGCGGGCGUAAAGCGGAAUCCGAAACGGCCCUCACGGGUAGAGGAGGAUCCUUGCGGGCUAGUCACCCCUCAUCACAAU